rnacentral:rRNA from 1 species
AUUCAGCCCUUAGAGUUUGAUCCUGGCUCAGGACGAACGCUGGCGGCGCGCCUAACACAUGCAAGUCGAACGAGAGAUGAGGAGCUUGCUCUUCAAAUCGAGUGGCGAACGGGUGAGUAACGCGUGAGGAACCUGCCUCAAAGAGGGGGACAACAGUUGGAAACGUCUGCUAAUACCGCAUAAGCCCACGGCUCGGCAUCGAGCAGAGGGAAAAGGAGCAAUCCGCUUUGAGAUGGGCCCGCGUUCGAAUUAGCUGGUUGGUGAGGUAACGGCCCACCAAGGCGACGAUCGGUAGCCGGACUGAGAGGUUGAACGGCCACAUUGGGACUGAGACACGGCCCAGACUCCUACGGGAGGCAGCAGUGGGGAAUAUUGCACAAUGGGGGAAACCCUGAUGCAGCGACGCCGCGUGGAGGAAGAAGGUCUUCGGAUUGUAAACUCCUGUUGUUGAGGAAGAUAAUGACGGUACUCAACAAGGAAGUGACGGCUAACUACGUGCCAGCAGCCGCGGUAAAACGUAGGUCACAAGCGUUGUCCGGAAUUACUGGGUGUAAAGGGAGCGCAGGCGGGAGAACAAGUUGGAAGUGAAAUCCAUGGGCUCAACCCAUGAACUGCUUUCAAAACUGUUUUUCUUGAGUAGUGCAGAGGUAGAUGGAAUUCCCGGUGUAGCGGUGGAAUGCGUAGAUAUCGGGAGGAACACCAGUGGCGAAGGCGGUCUACUGGGCACCAACUGACGCUGAGGCUCGAAAGCAUGGGUAGCAAACAGGAUUAGAUACCCUGGUAGUCCAUGCCGUAAACGAUGAUUACUAGGUGUUGGGGGAUUGACCCCCUCAGUGCCGCAGUUAACACAAUAAGUAAUCCACCUGGGGAGUACGACCGCAAGGUUGAAACUCAAAGGAAUUGACGG